AUUUACACAAUCAGUUCUCCGUUCGUCGCAUUAGUAACAACUACACAAGUAACAAUUGAGGACAUUCCUGUUAGCUAUCUGAUUAACCGCGAGAUAUUCUAUUUAUCGAAAACCUAUACAUAAAUUUAUAAAACUGUUACAUCGGUUAGUACCUGGUCCGUGAGUUGUUUGAAAGUGGGUGGUUACAUUUUUUUGAACCAAAGCAGAUUGGUGACAUAGGCAAAGGCUGUGGCUUUUUUUACAAUUUUUGACGACCAGCGGAAAAAAGAUGGACAAAUUGGAUUAUAUGCCGAUCACCAUACCUAAUUAUUCAUACACCUUUAACUUCGAAAAAAGCUUCACUUAUUCGGAUACUGUUAUACGAAUUACGAACCACUAUCCGUAUUGUUUCUGCUACUGUCUCUUUUACGUUAUCCUAAUUUUUACCGGAAAAUAUUUCAUGUCCAGUAGAUCAAAGUUCGAGCUGAGAGGAAUGCUCGCUUUGUGGAAUGCAUCGCUUGCAGUGUUCUCCAUUUUUGGAUUCCACCGGAUGGGAUCAGAAUUAUAUCACGUAUUACGUAAUUAUGGAUUUCAACAUAGUAUCUGUAUCAGUUAUAUAGCACAUGAUCCCGUGAUGAAUUUUUGGUCCUUAUUGUUCAUUCUAUCAAAGAUCGUGGAGCUUGGUGACACAGCCUUCAUUGUGCUACGGAAGCAGUCAUUGAAAUGUUUACAUUGGUACCAUCAUAUAACAGUUCUUCUUUAUGCAUGGUUGUGUUUUAUAGAGAAUGCACCAUACUCCAGAUGGAAUAGCGUAAUAAAUUACUUUGUUCAUUCCUGGAUGUAUUUCUAUUAUGCUCUGAAAGCAAUGCAAUUCAUUCUACCAAGAUGGUUUGCCAUGUUGAUCACUACGCUACAGAUACUACAGAUGGUGUGGGGUUGUUUUAUAACUAUUACGACUUACAACUAUAUAAAAAACGAUCAAAUUGACUGUCACAUUGAAUCCUACAACGUCAAAAUUGGUCUGCUUAUAUACUUCAGCUAUUUCAUUCUCUUUAGCAGAUUCUUCAAACAGGCUUAUCUAUCCAAUAAUUGCAGAAAGAUAAAAGAAUGCUCAAAGCAUGCUCAAGACUAAUUAAACACACAUUUUCUAAGGAUGCCCUGCAAUGGCAUUCCUUGAAAGCAUGUUGUUGGAAUCUGUUAAAGCUUCUAUGCAAUUCAUGAAACUGGGAAAUUCCGCUUUUAGAAGGAAGCAAUAGGGAUACGAAAGACUUAACAAGAUUCCAUAAAGUUCUUAGAUAUAAGGUAUUCAAGAUUCUACUAUACGAAAUUCCCUCUGGACAAUGCAAGCACGAAUGAUCACGUAUUCGUA